rnacentral:lncRNA from 1 species
CUGUGUGUGUGUUCACAGUGCCAGUCGCUAUAGACAUGGUGAUAAACGAUGUCGAAUGCUGCGAGGCUGUCACUAAUAAAAUCCGCAUACCAGUGAAGAAGGUGCAGCAUGUGAUGAAGACCAGCUGCAACCUUGAAGCAAUCAUAGUCAGCACUGUGGCUGGGAGGAAGUUCUGCCUUGAUGCUAAAUGGAAACAUGCACAGAUGCAUCUGGAAGAAUUCAAGAAAACAUCCUCAACCCAGAAACCCUGAGAGUGAUGAAGGAGAUCUAAAAACAGCAGAAAGUAGUCCCUCUGUGCUUCUGUGCACAAACUGACGUUAUGUUUGAUUGUGUUUGACUGUGUUUGAUUGUGUUUGACUGUGUUUGACUGUGUUAGAUUGUGUUUGACUGUGUUUGAUUGUGUUUGAUUGUGUUUGACUGUGUUUGACUGUGUUUGAUUGUGUUUGACUGUGUUUGAUUGUGUUUGAUUGUGUUUGACUGUGUUUGACUGUGUUUGAUUGUGUUUGACUGUGUUUGACUGUGUUUGAUUGUGUUUGAUUGUGUUUGACUGUGUUUGACUGUGUUUGAUUGUGUUUGACUGUGUUUGACUGUGUUUGAUUGUGUUUGAUUGUGUUUGACUGUGUUUGACUGUGUUUGAUUGUGUUUGACUGUGUUUGACUGUGUUUGACUGUGUUUGACUGUCUUUGAUUGUGUUUGAUUGUGUUUGACUGUGUUUGAUUGUGUUUGAUUGUGUUUGACUGUGUUUGACUGUGUUUGAUUGUGUUUGACUGUGUUUGAUUGUGUUUGAUUGUGUUUGACUGUGUUUGACUGUGUUUGAUUGUGUUUGAUUGUGUUUGAUUGUGUUUGACUGUGUUUGAUUGUGUUUGACUGUGUUUGAUUGUGUUUGACUGUGUUUGACUGUGUUUGAUUGUGUUUGAUUGUGUUUGACUGUGUUUUUGUGAGAACACGGUGUACGUGUCCGUUUUGAUCUGCUGCAGAACUUCAUUUGUGGUCGACUGUGAUCACACAGAAAGGUUUUCGGUUUAAACCUUUGAAAGUUUAUUUUUCUCUGAUGUCCUGAGCUAAACCAAGUAGUGCGACUGAACUCGUGUCAUUGUAUUUAAAAGGUUGAUAAUUAAUGCUUCACCUUAACUUAACUUAAAGUAUUUUUAAAGGUGCUUUUUAAAAAAAACAAAAAAAACCAACAACUUUAAAAUACUUUUAAAGUACUAAUGAAGGGAAUUAGAUUUAGAUUUACAUCACUCCAUAGUCUCUACUCUUCGCUGGUUUCAGCUUAUUUAAGCCAUUGUGCAGAGGUCUGGGGCAGUAACUAUAAAACUACAGUGUCCAUCAUUUUCAAUGUUAUUCAUACAAACUCAUUAUUCUUAAAAUGCUGAGGUUUGCAGAUCUAAUUGAAAUAAAAGUAUAACAGAAAGAGUCAAAGCAUGUGUUUCUGUCUGUU